UACGAAGGGGGCUAGCGUUGCUCGGAAUCACUGGGCGUAAAGGGUGCGUAGGCGGGUCUUUAAGUCAGAGGUGAAAUCCUGGAGCUCAACUCCAGAACUGCCUUUGAUACUGAGGAUCUUGAGUAUGGGAGAGGUGAGUGGAACUGCGAGUGUAGAGGUGAAAUUCGUAGAUAUUCGCAAGAACACCAGUGGCGAAGGCGGCUCACUGGCCCAUUACUGACGCUGAGGCACGAAAGCGUGGGGGGCAAACAGG
rnacentral:rRNA from 1 species